UUUAAAUAGCUGCAGAAUUUUGACUGUACAAAGGUAGCAUAAUAAUUAGUCUUUUAAUUGAGGUCUAGAAUGAAUGGUUUAACAAAAUAAAAACUUUAUUAUUUUAAUAAAAAUUUUUAAAUUAAUUUUUUAGUUAAAAAGCUAAAAUUUUUAAUUGGGACGAUAAGACCCUUUAGAUCUUAAAUUUUGAGUAUAUAAUUUUUUUUAGAAAUUAUUAAUUUUUAUAUUAAUAAAAUUUUCGUUGGGGUGAUGACAAAAUUCUUAAAACUUUUGUUUAAUUAAACAUUAAUUGAUGAUAUUUUGUGAUCUUGAAUUUUAGAUUUUAAGAUUAAGAUACCUUAGGGAUAACAGCGUAAUAAAUUUAGAUAGUUCAUAUUGAUAAAUUUGUUUACGACCUCGAUGUUGAAUUAAUUUAAAGUUUUAAAGCAGAAAUUAAAAAUUUGGGUCUGUUCGACCUUUAAAAAAUUACA
rnacentral:rRNA from 2 species